rnacentral:lncRNA from 1 species
GAGCUAGGACGGCAACCACCCCUCGCCGGCGACUCUUAAAGCAGGAGGCGCAGUCCCCGACGAUGACCAUGAUAGAGUCUGAUGACCAGCGAUGGCUCACAAUGACGAGAAUCAAGAGCGAAAUGAAAAAAAAUAAUCUGAAACUAGAUUUUUUUAAAAAAAAUAUUUUUAGGUACAAAAUCAACAAAAAUCCAAGCUUAAAAUCUAUAGA